rnacentral:rRNA from 15 species
UCAGUCGGAGCCCCCUUGUGGGGUGACGGCCUGCCUUUUGUAUAAUGAGUCUGCGAGUUAUUGUCGGUAGCAAGCCUAAGCCGCUAAGCGGUGCAGGCGCAGCGAAAGCGAGUCCGAAUAGGGCGCUUAGUUGUCGGCAAUAGACCCGAAGGGGAGGUGAUCUAACCAUGGCCAGGAUGAAACUUCGGUAACACGAAGUGGAGGUCCGAACCGGUCAAUCUUGAGAAAUUGUCGGAUGAGCUGUGGUUAGGAGCGAAAGACUAAUCAAACCCCCUGAUAGCUGGUUCUUUCCGAAAUAUAUUUGGGUAUAGCCUCGGGCGCUGAUUUGCGGAGGUAGAGCACUAAAUAAGCUAGGGCCCCUACCGGGGUACUGAACUUAAUUAAACUCCGAAUACCGCAGAGUGAAGCCCGGGAGUCAGACUGUGGGGGAUAACCUUCAUAGUCAAAAGGAGAAUAAUCCAAACCAUCGGUUAAGGUCCCAAAAUAUGGCUCAGUGUAAAAGGAUGUGAUUUUGCUUAGACAAUGGGGAUGUUGGCUUAGAGGCAGCCAUCAUUUAAACAGUGCGUAACAGCUGACCCAUCGAGCGAAAUUGCGCCGAAAAUGAUCGGGACUUAAGCCAUAUACCGAAGCUAUGGAUUCAACCGCAAGGUUGAGUGGUAGGAAAGCGUUCCAAGUGCAGCGAAGUGGAAGGGGUAACCGACCAUGGAGCGCUUGGAAGUGAGAAUGCAGACAUAAGUAACGAUAAAGAUGGUUAAAAUCCAUCUCGCCUCAAUUCCAAGGAUUCCUGGGGAAGGUUCGUCCUCCCAGGGUUAGUCGGGAGCUAAGACGAGGCCGUAAGGAGUAGUCGAUGCACAGCUGGUU